GUUGUUAUUAUAGAAGUUGCACAUAACUGCACUCUUAAAAGUUACCUGUACUUCUGUUACAUAAUGCAAACAUGUAUACCUGUAUGUUCUGCAUAUUCAGUCACUUCUUUAAGAAAUCUUUAUGGGUGGCCCAGCCUAUUUUAUUGGGUCAACUAAGCCUGUUUAUGUUGCAUGUUAACUAAUGGUAGCCUAUAACAUUUUCAGUUGUGCGAAGUCUCCUAAAGUAUCAAUGGACUUAAGUGUGAACUGAAUAUGUACAGUUAAGGUUUAUACAGGACCUUUUUUGGAGCAACACUGAUGAGCAUGUGAGUUUUCAAUUGAGCCAACACUGCAUGUAAUAUGGUCAACUGAACAGGAAGUCAAUACUAGGUGUGGGAACCGUUUAAAGGGACAGUACUCACCGCUUGCACUGCCCUUACAAAUGAAAGGAUGCCAGCAGUUCAUAUCAUGAAAGCCAAAAUGAGCUUAUAUCAAACUGUAAUGAGAUAUGGCUGCUUCAACCCUGCUACUUUUACCACAUAUAUUUGCCACAGAAUGUUUGCCACAGUGUGGGUAACCCUGUCCUCACCCUAGAAUAAUGGUUUAAGUUAUGUCGAUCAUGUGUUUACACAAUAGUGAGAUUGUGCUUACCGAAACCAGGUAUAACACGUGUUAGCAAUAUUCAGCAAUACCUUUAACUAUGUGCAUUUAUAAACUGCAUAAGUGUAUAGUUGGUUGGGAUGCUUACUGUGCAAAAAAGGGAAGCCAACAUUUUCUAGGUUUGGAUUCACGAAUGAUGAUGACAUCCAAUUAGGUUACUCUGGUUCAUUCCUUCCACAGUUGCAGCCCAUUCCGGGGGCCAAUUUACACAACAGGAGAUUUCCAAUUUGGAUAGAAUUUUUAAUCCAGUGUAAAGUUACUAACAUAAGUACUUCAAAUUGUUGUAACAUUCUGGAAUGUCACACUGAACAAUGGAAACCAAGGAAAGCCAAAUGGUGCCUUAAAAACACAUUUUUUUAAGGCACCAUUAAUAUUAUAAAAAUAAUUGAUGUUUGUUUAUGGUAUAUUGUUUUUUUUCCUAAGAGGCUAUGGAAGUCCCAGGAUAUGGGGAAUUGUUUUUCUGAGGAUAAGUUAGGCUAAGGAAAACAACUUGUUUAGACACUAGUUUUAUGGUAUUGGAAUAUAAUAAAUUUAUGAAAAGACAAUUGUUUAAUAUGGACUAUCAAGGGAUCUGAUAAUUUUUCUAAUUAGGAC
ensembl:lncRNA